CUGGGUGAAGCAUUCAAGUGAGUAGCCCUGCUUUGCUGUAGCUCAUUUGUUCUUUGCCAUCCGAAGAAGUAGUAGAAGGUUAAAACUUAUCACAUAGGAGGGAUUACAUGUGUCCAAAAUUAGAAAGCAUGUAGUUGUGAGAGACCAAGUUUCAGAGCUGUAUGCUCACAGCUCUUGGCUACUGGGAAUUCAGGAUGUCCCUGACACGUCUAAGAUGGCACCUCAUGGCUGUGGGAACCCUGGUGCUCAGAAGCCAGCCGAGCCUAGGGUUCUCCUACUCAUUGGUUGAGGGCACCACUUUCAGAUAAAAACAUAGACCUGAAUGGCAUCACCCAGUAUCCAAGGAAACCGUGUUGGUGACUGCAUCACAAUCUUCAGCUUCUGCAUGGGCAAAGGAACAGCAGUUCAAGAUCAUUGCUUGCAGAUUUAUUGCCUACUCUGACUUUCCCUUUGGACCUUCUGCCGCCGGUCCCCCACAGUUCUAUCAUCUACCACGCUCUCAAAUGCUGCCGUGGAUCACACACUGAGGAUCGUUGCCACAAAUCAGUUAAUCGCUUCACUUAGUGGGUUUCUUUCCCAGGAGAGGGGAUUGUGUGUUUCUUCUAUGUGUGUUUCUUCUCGCAGUCUGUGAUGGGUGGCUUCCACCUCUGCACUGGACUGAGGCACUUCCAUUCUGUCCCACACAGCUGUCUCUAACAUGGUUAGCAUUUUAGUAAAGGAAACAGCAUCCACACAAGUGUUGAGUAAUCCUGUCUCUAAGAAAUGGAGAGAGCAGAUACAGACAGCUUGCUCACUAGAGGUGAAACAGUGGUGUCCAACAGAAUCUGUUUCUCCCCUUUGUCAACGCUUCCCCGAGAGACCUCAGGUGCUGUUUCUCUCUCCUUAAGUGUCCUGCACCAGCAUGGCAAACUUGGGAAGAUGUAAGAGAACUAGGUCUGUAGAUGAUCUAAACCCGGCACCUGCUCACAACACAGCCCAGUAGAUAUGUGUUGGUUUUGUGCUUUUCUCUCUAUCUCUGUCUUUAUCUCUGUCUCUGCCUGUGUCUGUCUGUCUGUCUCUCUUUCUCUCUCUCUUUCUUUCUCUCUCUCCUGCCCUCCUUCUCUCCUGUAUCUAUCUAUAUAAAAUGGAUUUUCCUGUGUUGUCCAAGUUGGCCUUGAAUUUAGGAUCAGGCUUCUACCUCAGUCUUCCCAGGCAUUUGGGUCACAGGUACAUCCCACUAUGUUGAAUUAUGUCACUUUAAAUGCUUUCGUAGAGUAUAAGCAAAUUUCCUUCAAAAUUUUCCUACAUUUCUGUGGGAACAAAAUGGGGUGCCAAUAUAUAAAGGUGCUAGGCAUUGUCCUGGUUCCUUAGUAAAGUUUUCUUACUCCUCACAAUAAUUCUUAUGAAAUAGGUAUCAUCAUUCUCAUUUUAGAAAUGUAAGUAACAUAUAGAUGGAUUAAGUCAGUUCAUACAAUUGCAUGGCUUAAAAGCAAAUAAACUGAGAUUUGAGGAUCAUUGGUCACUAUUUUGCACCAUAAUUUGCAGCACUUUCUAAUUUCUUAAAUUGAAAAUUAUUUCAGUUAUUAUGAUUAUAUUUCUAAAGUUUUUCCUAUCUUAAAAAGUAGGAAAUCUCCUGUUUGUAUUAAAGAAUCAUUUAUCCUUCCCUAAAUACAGAGGCUGCAGAAGCUGGUGUGGCCUUUUGUGUUAUUUUUCUCAUAGUACUCAUUGCCAAUCUAGAUCAAUUACAGGUGACAAUGUCCAUAUUUCCCAUAAAAGUGGGUCUACAGUUCAUUUGUCCCAUGGUUCAAAUGACCCUCGUUAUUUAAAAUAACAGAAAACUCUACAAGGUACCAUUCAUGUGCUAACACCAAAUUAUUCCAUUUUAGAAAAAUUUAAAAUACUUCCUAAAAAUGUGGCAUCACUAGAGCAUAAUACAAACAUGAAAGAAAACUACUUUUAUACUUCUGUUUUCAUUAAAAAGAUUAGUAAUUAAACCCAUUGCAAAUUAAUAAGACCUUCCCUGAGACUGAGAGCAUCUUCAGUUUCUUAACUCGCUGAGAAAUGCAGGAAAGUGGUAUUACACACCCGCUCUGUGUUCAGUAUCAAGGGCAUUGAUACUUUGGAAAGCAAAUUGGUGAUCUAAAGACACUAUCUCCACCUUCAUAAAAUGUGAAGAUGUAUGACCAACCACUCCAAUAUUCUAAAUAUCUGCAUUAAUUGUAGUUAUAGAAAAGCUACAGCCAUCUUGUGAAAACUUUGAAUUUACUUUAAAAUUUUAAUAAGGUUAAUGCACUGAUAAAUACAAAUAUGACCUUUUAGCAUUAUAAAUUCAUAUAUUAAUUGUGCAACUCGAUCAUAAAAAUAAGGGUUUUUUUUUCAUGGAAUUUUCUUUUUUAAGGAAAGGUUUCAACUAGAGGUUCAAGUGUGUAAUAGUGACCAUGUAGAAUCCAGUAACAUCAGUAAAAAGAAUAAACUGUUAAACACUUUGUACA